rnacentral:lncRNA from 1 species
AUGCGGCGGCGGGCGCGGCGGCGCGGGUCGGGCCGGAUUCCUGCGCUCGGACGGCUAAUAUGGAUGCGCAUCAGGUCCCCCGGCGGUGGGGCGCUGCGGCCGGCGGCUCGCGCUGGGAGCUGGUUGGCAGAGCCGGCGGCUCGGGAAGGGGAAAGGGAGCGGAGGAAGGGGAGGAGGAGGAGGGAGGAGGGGGGAGGAGGGGGGAGGACGCGGGGAGGAGGAGCGGCCCGGCGCGCAGCAGCCCGAGGGGCGAGGGCUGCCCGGCUCAUCCCACGCCGGCCCCCCGAGCGCACGCAGCGCCGCGGCCGUGGGGUGCGGUGGGGGGGUGGCUCCUGGGUCCUCGCGGCCCCUGGGGGAGACGCGGAGUUCGAAAAGUGCGGCGCGCCCUGCGCAGACCUCACCCUCCCCACAUCCCCAAAAGUUCUUCGGAAAGGUCGCCGCUCCCGGCUCAGCCCCGGACAUCUCGCGGCCGCCCGAGGGACCGCGAGCCGGAACGCCCGGGGGCGCGUACUCACGGCCAGGCCAGGGCGCUGGGGGCUCCCGGGCGAGGACGCCGAGGGGACCGGUGGGCUGCGGGAAGGGAUCGAGCAGAGAUGCAAACUUGUUCCGGAAAAGGAAUCAAAAUGGCGUUUCUGGAUGUGCAAAGUUCAUCAACUCCGCAGUCGCUUCCCCCCCCCUCCCCGCUCCGCUUCGCCCCGCGGGGAGGGAGGUGGGCGAGGAGCUGGCGACCCCGGCGCCCCGGCCGCCGUCGUGGCCCCCGCCCCGGCCCCCCGCCCCGCUUGCCCGCCCGCACGCUCGGAGCCCCGCUCUCCCCCUCUCACCCUGAUAAGUAGACACAUCACGUGUUGCUCCUGCGCGUCUCCUGGGGACGUGUUACUGAGCGGCGGCGGCGGCGGCGGCGGCGGCUGCGGCGCUCCGGCCGGGGGUCGGGUGGGGGGGGGGGUGCGGACCCCGACCCCCGCCGCAGCCCCCCGCCCCGAUCUUAGUGGGGUGACUGCAGUCUCCAUCUCCGGGAUGGAGGGACGCUGCAGUCCCCCACCCCACCCCCACCGCAGCCCCAGGUUGGCCCCCACGCCCUCCGCGGGCGCCGCCGGGGCCCCAGGGGGGAAGAGGGCUUGGGCCGCCCCCCACCCCGGGGAAGGGUCUCGGCGGCGGAGGCCGCGCUCGGGCCGGGGGUUCGGGGAGACUGCGGGCCCCGCCGCAGCCCCUCGCCCCGAUUUUAGCGGGCUGACUGCAGUCUCCAUCCCCGGGAUGGCGGGACACUGCAGCCCCCCACCGCAGCCCCAGGUUGGCCCCCACGCCCUCCGCGGUGCCUCCGGGGGCCCAGCGAGAGGAGGGCUUGGGCCGCCCUCCCCUCCCCCAUCCCCGGGGGAAGGGUCUCGGGGGCGGCGGCCGAGCGCGAUGCGACCUGCGCGGCGUUCUUUGCGGGCGAGCCACCUUCAUGGACCACCGCGCGCCCCCUCUCCCCACUCCAGCCCCUCACUGCGGGCGACUCCCCGCCCCCGGCUCUCCAUCACUUCACUCAGUGGUUUGUUUCACUGUUUUAACGGAGGAGGGGAAGAGGCAGCGACGCCUGGGAGGCGCAAGAGGGGCACUUCGGAGGCCGCGAGGGGGGUGCCGCGGUGGGGGGGCGGGGUCCCCCGAUCCGACGCCGCCCCUCUUGGUCUCAGAGGCAGAUGGGGGAGCCGAGCCCCACCCGCGCGGUUCCCUCCCCACGCGGUCCUCGCUGUGCAUCCAGGUGGGACAGGCAGACGACGGGGCGGGAGAUGA